CCUACGGGAGGCAGCAGUGGGGAAUAUUGGGCAAUGGACGCAAGUCUGACCCAGCAACGCCGCGUGAAGGAAGAAGGCUUUCGGUAUGUAAACUUCUAUCAGCAGGGAAGAAAAUGACGGUACCUGACUAAGAAGCCCCGGCUAACUACGUGCCAGCAGCCGCGGUAAUACGUAGGGGGCAAGCGUUAUCCGGAUUUACUGGGUGUAAAGGGAGCGUAGGCGGUUUAGCAAGGCAGAAGUGAAAGCCCGGGGCUCAACUCCGGGACUGCUUUUGAAACUGUUGAACUAGAUUGCAGGAGAGGUAAGUGGAAUUCCUAGUGGAGCGGUGAAAUGCGUAGAUAUUAGGAGGAACACCAGUGGCGAAGGCGGCUUACUGGACUGUAAAUGACGCUGAGGCUCGAAAGCGUGGGGAGCAAACAGGAUUAGAUACCCUUGUAGUC
rnacentral:rRNA from 1 species